GAACCUUACCAGGUCUUGACAUCCCGCUGACCGGUCUGGAGACAGGCCUUUCCUUGGGGACAGCGGUGACAGGUGGUGCAUGGUUGUCGUCAGCUCGUGUCGUGAGAUGUUGGUAAGUCCCGCAACGAGCGCAACCCUUGAUCUUAGUUCCAGCAUUCAGUGGGCACUCUAAGGUGACUGCCGGUGACAAACCGAGGAAGGUGGGGAUGACGUCAAAUCAUCAUGCCCCUUAUGACCUGGGCACACACGUGCUACAUGGUGGUACAAAGGGCGCAAGCCGCAAGGUUUAGCCAAUCCAUAAACCAUCUCAGUUCG
rnacentral:rRNA from 2 species